rnacentral:rRNA from 1 species
CCUACGGGAGGCAGCAGUGAGGAAUAUUGGUCAAUGGCCGGGAGGCUGAACCAGCCAAGUCGCGUGAGGGAAGACGGCCCUACGGGUUGUAAACCUCUUUUGUCAGGGAGCAAGGUGCAGGUCGGGACCUGCUGUGAGAGUACCUGAAGAAAAAGCAUCGGCUAACUCCGUGCCAGCAGCCGCGGUAAUACGGAGGAUGCGAGCGUUAUCCGGAUUUAUUGGGUUUAAAGGGUGCGCAGGCGGGGGCACAAGUCAGCGGUAAAAUCGCGGGGCUCAACCCCGCCCCGCCGUUGAAACUGGGUGCCUUGAGUGCGCGAAGGGUAGGCGGAAUGCGUGGUGUAGCGGUGAAAUGCAUAGAUAUCACGCAGAACUCCGAUCGCGAAGGCAGCCUACCGGCGCGCAACUGACGCUCAUGCACGAAGGCGUGGGUAUCGAACAGGAUUAGAUACCCCUGUAGUC